GGGUUGUGAGGUUAAGCGACUAAGCGUACACGGUGGAUGCCCUGGCAGUCAGAGGCGAUGAAGGACGUGCUAAUCUGCGAUAAGCGUCGGUAAGGUGAUAUGAACCGUUAUAACCGGCGAUUUCCGAAUGGGGAAACCCAGUGUGUUUCGACACACUAUCAUUAACUGAAUCCAUAGGUUAAUGAGGCGAACCGGGGGAACUGAAACAUCUAAGUACCCCGAGGAAAAGAAAUCAACCGAGAUUCCCCCAGUAGCGGCGAGCGAACGGGGAGCAGCCCAGAGCCUGAAUCAGUGUGUGUGUUAGUGGAAGCGUCUGGAAAGGCGUGCGAUACAGGGUGACAGCCCCGUACACAAAAAUGCACAUGCUGUGAGCUCGAUGAGUAGGGCGGGACACGUGGUAUCCUGUCUGAAUAUGGGGGGACCAUCCUCCAAGGCUAAAUACUCCUGACUGACCGAUAGUGAACCAGUACCGUGAGGGAAAGGCGAAAAGAACCCCGGCGAGGGGAGUGAAAAAGAACCUGAAACCGUGUACGUACAAGCAGUGGGAGCACGCUUAGGCGUGUGACUGCGUACCUUUUGUAUAAUGGGUCAGCGACUUAUAUUCUGUAGCAAGGUUAACCGAAUAGGGGAGCCGAAGGGAAACCGAGUCUUAACUGGGCGUUAAGUUGCAGGGUAUAGACCCGAAACCCGGUGAUCUAGCCAUGGGCAGGUUGAAGGUUGGGUAACACUAACUGGAGGACCGAACCGACUAAUGUUGAAAAAUUAGCGGAUGACUUGUGGCUGGGGGUGAAAGGCCAAUCAAACCGGGAGAUAGCUGGUUCUCCCCGAAAGCUAUUUAGGUAGCGCCUCGUGAAUUCAUCUCCGGGGGUAGAGCACUGUUUCGGCAAGGGGGUCAUCCCGACUUACCAACCCGAUGCAAACUGCGAAUACCGGAGAAUGUUAUCACGGGAGACACACGGCGGGUGCUAACGUCCGUCGUGAAGAGGGAAACAACCCAGACCGCCAGCUAAGGUCCCAAAGUCAUGGUUAAGUGGGAAACGAUGUGGGAAGGCCCAGACAGCCAGGAUGUUGGCUUAGAAGCAGCCAUCAUUUAAAGAAAGCGUAAUAGCUCACUGGUCGAGUCGGCCUGCGCGGAAGAUGUAACGGGGCUAAACCAUGCACCGAAGCUGCGGCAGCGACGCUGAUGCGUUGUUGGGUAGGGGAGCGUUCUGUAAGCCUGCGAAGGUGUGCUGUGAGGCAUGCUGGAGGUAUCAGAAGUGCGAAUGCUGACAUAAGUAACGAUAAAGCGGGUGAAAAGCCCGCUCGCCGGAAGACCAAGGGUUCCUGUCCAACGUUAAUCGGGGCAGGGUGAGUCGACCCCUAAGGCGAGGCCGAAAGGCGUAGUCGAUGGGAAACAGGUUAAUAUUCCUGUGCUUGGUGUUACUGCGAAGGGGGGACGGAGAAGGCUAUGUUGGCCGGGCGACGGUUGUCCCGGUUUAAGCGUGUAGGCUGGUUUUCCAGGCAAAUCCGGAAAAUCAAGGCUGAGGCGUGAUGACGAGGCACUACGGUGCUGAAGCAACAAAUGCCCUGCUUCCAGGAAAAGCCUCUAAGCAUCAGGUAACAUCAAAUCGUACCCCAAACCGACACAGGUGGUCAGGUAGAGAAUACCAAGGCGCUUGAGAGAACUCGGGUGAAGGAACUAGGCAAAAUGGUGCCGUAACUUCGGGAGAAGGCACGCUGAUAUGUAGGUGAAGUCCCUCGCGGAUGGAGCUGAAAUCAGUCGAAGAUACCAGCUGGCUGCAACUGUUUAUUAAAAACACAGCACUGUGCAAACACGAAAGUGGACGUAUACGGUGUGACGCCUGCCCGGUGCCGGAAGGUUAAUUGAUGGGGUCAGCGCAAGCGAAGCUCUUGAUCGAAGCCCCGGUAAACGGCGGCCGUAACUAUAACGGUCCUAAGGUAGCGAAAUUCCUUGUCGGGUAAGUUCCGACCUGCACGAAUGGCGUAAUGAUGGCCAGGCUGUCUCCACCCGAGACUCAGUGAAAUUGAACUCGCUGUGAAGAUGCAGUGUACCCGCGGCAAGACGGAAAGACCCCGUGAACCUUUACUAUAGCUUGACACUGAACAUUGAGCCUUGAUGUGUAGGAUAGG
rnacentral:rRNA from 1 species